UACGUAGGGGGCAAGCGUUGUCCGGAAUCAUUGGGCGUAAAGCGCGCGUAGGCGGCUCGAUAAGUCUGCUGUGAAAGUUCAGGGCUCAACCCUGAAAUGCCGGUGGAAACUGUCGAGCUAGAGUCCGGAAGAGGCGAGUGGAAUUCCUGGUGUAGCGGUGAAAUGCGCAGAUAUCAGGAGGAACACCAAUGGCGAAGGCAGCUCGCUGGGACGGUACUGACGCUGAGGAGCGAAAGCGUGGGGAGCGAACAGG
rnacentral:rRNA from 1 species